GGGGAUUUGGCUCAGUGGUAGAGCGCUUGCCUAGCAAGCGCAAGGCCCUGGGUUUAGUCCCCA
rnacentral:tRNA from 1 species